ensembl:snRNA U6 U6 spliceosomal RNA
GUGCUUGCCUUGGCAGCAUAUAUACUAAAACCAGAAUGAUAGAGAUUAGCAUAGCCCCUGCACAAUGAUGAUGCACACAUUUCCAUAUAAAAAUCUAUUUUCA